rnacentral:rRNA from 1 species
UGGAAGUAAAAAGUCGUAACAAGGUCUCCGUUGGUGAACCAGCGGAGGGAUCAUUACUGAGUUUACGCUCUACAACCCUUUGUGAACAUACCUAUAACUGUUGCUUCGGCGGGUAGGGUCUCCGUGACCCUCCCGGCCUCCCGCCCCCGGGCGGGUCGGCGCCCGCCGGAGGAUAACCAAACUCUGAUUUAACGACGUUUCUUCUGAGUGGUACAAGCAAAUAAUCAAAACUUUUAACAACGGAUCUCUUGGUUCUGGCAUCGAUGAAGAACGCAGCGAAAUGCGAUAAGUAAUGUGAAUUGCAGAAUUCAGUGAAUCAUCGAAUCUUUGAACGCACAUUGCGCCCGCCAGCAUUCUGGCGGGCAUGCCUGUUCGAGCGUCAUUUCAACCCUCAAGCUCUGCUUGGUGUUGGGGCCCUACAGCUGAUGUAGGCCCUCAAAGGUAGUGGCGGACCCUCCCGGAGCCUCCUUUGCGUAGUAACUUUACGUCUCGCACUGGGAUCCGGAGGGACUCUUGCCGUAAAACCCCCAAUUUUCCAAAGGUGACCUCGGA